rnacentral:tRNA from 1 species
CGCCGAACUACGGCGCGCUGGUCGCGGCGGCGCUCGGGGUGCCGCCGGAGCGGGUGUUCAAGACGCUCGUCGCCGA